CCCCUAGUAACUGCGAGUGAAGCGGGAAAAGCUCAAAUUUAAAAUCUGGCAGGCAUUUGUCUGUCCGAGUUGUAACCUAGAGAAGUGUAACCUGUGCUGGACCGUGUACAAGUCUCCUGGAAUGGAGCAUCAUAGAGGGUGAGAAUCCCGUCUUUGACAUGGACUACCAGUGCACUAUGGUUGUGCACUCAACGAGUCGAGUUGUUUGGGAAUGCAGCUCUAAAUGGGUGGUAAAUUCCAUCUAAAGCUAAAUAUUGGCGAGAGACCGAUAGCGAACAAGUACCGUGAGGGAAAGAUGAAAAGAACUUUGGAAAGAGAGUUAAACAGUAUGUGAAAUUGUUGAAAGGGAAACGCUUGAAGUCAGCUGUGUUGGCUGGGGAUCAAGCCAGCUUAUUUGCUGGGUGUACUUCCUGGUUGACAGGCCAACAUCAGUUUUGACCAUCAGAGAAAGGCUAAGGGAAUGUGGCACCUUUACAGGUGUGUUAUAGCCCUUGGUUGUAUGUGAUGGAUGGGACUGAGGACAGCAGCGUGCCACAAGGCCGGGUUUCGACCACGUUCACGCUUUGGAUGUUGGCAUAAUGGCUUUAAGCGACCCGUCUUGAAACACGGACCAAGGAGUCUAACAUGCCUGCAAGUGUUUGGGUGGAAAACUCGAGCGCGUAAUGAAAGU
rnacentral:rRNA from 1 species